rnacentral:rRNA from 1 species
AAGGUACAGUGGUAGGGGAGCAAUCUCUUAGGGGCGAAGCCAUUUCGUAAGGGAUGGUGGACUUAAGAGAAGAGAGAAUGUUGGCAUGAGUAGCGAAAGUGAAGUGAGAAUCUUCACCAUCGAAAGCCCAAGGUUUCCUGAGGAAGGCUCGUCCGCUCAGGGUUAGUCGGGGCCUAAGCCGAGGUCAAAAGACGUAGGCGAUGGACAACUGGUUGAAAUUCCAGUACUACCUCAAAGCGUUUGAGAAAUGGAGUGACACAGAAGGAUAAGCGAACCCGGCCGUUGGAAGAGCCGGGGCAAGCAGUAAGGCUGCAGCGGGAGGCAAAUCCCCCAUUGCAAAAGGCUAAGCUGUGAUGCGGAACGAAAAAUAAGUAGGGAAGUCGCCGAUUUCACGCUGUCAAGAAAAGCUUCUAUCGAGCUGCGAGGUACCCGUACCGUAAACCGACACAGGUAGGCGAGGAGAGAAUCCUAAGAUGAGCGGGAGAAGUGUUGUUAAGGAACUCGGCAAAAUGACUCCGUAACUUCGGGAGAAGGAGUGCCCCUUCGGGGGCCGCAGAGAAGAGGCUCAAGCGACUGUUUAGCAAAAACACAGGUCUCUGCUAAAUCGAAAGAUGACGUAUAGGGGCUGACGCCUGCCCGGUGCUGGAAGGUUAAGGGGAGUGCUUAGCGUAAGCGAAGGUGCGAACUUAAGCCCCAGUAAACGGCGGCCGUAACUAUAACGGUCCUAAGGUAGCGAAAUUCCUUGUCAGGUAAGUUCUGACCCGCACGAAAGGCGUAACGAUUUGAGCGCUGUCUCGACAACACACCCGGUGAAAUUGUAGUACUCGUGAAGAUGCGAGUUACCCGCGACAGGACGGAAAGACCCCGUAGAGCUUUACUGUAGUCUGGCAUUGAGUUUUGAUAUAACAUGUACAGGAUAGGUGGGAGGCAGAGAAGCAUGCACGCCAGUGUGUGCCGAGCCAUUGUUGGGAUACCACUCUUGUUAUAUUGGAAUUCUAACGCGUUGCCGUUACCCGGCAAGCGGACAGUGUCAGAUGGGCAGUUUGACUGGGGCGGUCGCCUCCUAAAAAGUAUCGGAGGCGCCCAAAGUUACCCUCAGGAUGGUUGGAAACCAUCUGUAAGAGUGCAAAGGCAGAAGGGUGAUUGACUGCGAGAGAGACAUCUCGAGCAGAGACGAAAGUCGGGCUUAGUGAUCCGGUGGUUCCGAGUGGAAGGGCCAUCGCUCAACGGAUAAAAGCUACCUCGGGGAUAACAGGCUUAUCUCCCCCAAGAGUCCACAUCGACGGGGAGGUUUGGCACCUCGAUGUCGGCUCGUCUCAUCCUGGGGCUGAAGCAGGUCCCAAGGGUUGGGCUGUUCGCCCAUUAAAGAGGCACGCGAGCUGGGUUCAGAACGUCGUGAGACAGUUCGGUCCCUAUCCGUCGUGGGCGUAAGAUAUUUGAAAGGAGCUGUUCCUAGUACGAGAGGACCGGAAUGGACAAACCGCUGGUGCACCAGUUGUUCCGCCAGGAGCAUCGCUGGGUAGCUAAGUUUGGAAGGGAUAAGUGCUGAAGGCAUCUAAGCACGAAGCCC